rnacentral:rRNA from 1 species
UACGAAGGGGGCUAGCGUUGCUCGGAAUUACUGGGCGUAAAGCGCACGUAGGCGGCUUGGCAAGUCGGAUGUGAAAUCCCUCGGCUCAACCAAGGAAGUGCAUCCGAAACUGCUGAGCUUGAGUACUUAAGAGGAUCGCGGAAUUCCCGGUGUAGAGGUGAAAUUCGUAGAUAUCAGGAGGAACACCAGUGGCGAAGGCGGCUUUCUGGACGGUAACUGACGCUGAGACGCGAAAGCGUGGGAGCAAACAGG